CAGUCGCCACGGUAACACGUAGGGUGCGAGCGUUAAUCGGAAUUACUGGGCGUAAAGCGUGCGCAGGCGGUUAUAUAAGACAGAUGUGAAAUCCCCGGGCUCAACCUGGGACCUGCAUUUGUGACUGUAUAGCUAGAGUACGGUAGAGGGGGAUGGAAUUCCGCGUGUAGCAGUGAAAUGCGUAGAUAUGCGGAGGAACACCGAUGGCGAAGGCAAUCCCCUGGACCUGUACUGACGCUCAUGCACGAAAGCGUGGGGAGCAAACAGGAUUAGAUACCCCUGUAGUCCCUGUCUCUUAUAC
rnacentral:rRNA from 1 species